CGGGGCGUGGCUCAGCCUGGUAGAGCGCUCGAUUUGGGAUCGAGAGGUCGGAUGUUCGAAUCAUCUCGCCCCGACCA
rnacentral:tRNA from 2 species